rnacentral:pre_miRNA from 1 species
UCUUUUGGAUAGCCAAAGAAAGUGGUUUCUUAAGAUAGAAUCUACUCCUGGUGAAGAUGCUGUGAA